AAGUCAGUCAUGGCCAGCCUUAUUGACGCUCUGUCAGAGGUUGGGCAGCAGGCCAAGAGUUUUACAGCCAUGCUUUUAUUUGCCUCUCAUGGGCACCCUGGAAAUAAGCUACAGAUUUCUUAUCUCUGUUUUCUAGUGAGAAGACUGAACCCAAGAUGGCAAACUAGUUUGCUCCGGCUCAAUCAACGGGGGCAUGAACCUGCUUCUCUUGCCUUUGUGAACAUCAAAGCCUUACACAGAAAAUACUCAAGAAAUAACCCCUGAUCAGUCACUUCAAGAUGACACCAUGACUGAAGCUAGCAGGCUUUCCAUAGGAGACAGAUUUGGUGUUUUUCUUUGCUGGCUCCAUUAGAGGACAUGUGAUGUCUAUAGUUAACCCAUAGAGCAAAUCUCUGACUACUGACCCACCACAGAGCAGUGAUUCCAACCGCAGUUAUCUCUCCCUGGUAUUUCCUAGGCCUGGGCAUUCCGUUUGCCUGUUCUACACACUAGUAGCAGGCUGCAAAGUUCCACUUGCCCUCUUAAAACUUCCAUGCCUUUGGAAAAUCUCUUUCCUCUUGGGGUGUCUGACUUCUUCCUUCCUAAAGGGAGCAGUGGUGACAUCUGAAUUUCUCCCAAACAAGUCUCGACUGAAAGGAUGGUCUGAGGAUGCCUAUCAGGCCAUGCAGAGGGACAAGUUUUGCUAUUAGAUUCUACUGUGUCUAAGCCUGUCUUGGUGCAUAGAACAUUGCCAUUUAUGUGCCAAAAAGAGUCGAUACAGACCAUGGCCAAUGCUAUAGGAAGCAGGAGGUGAUGGGGCACAGAGCGACAGGCAAGCUAAUUUUAUUGUGUGAUGAGCUGGGCAUCUGUGACCCCUUUUUUAAGCCUUUUUUUUAAGUUAUAAAUAUAACAUCCUUUUAAUGCUAUUUUGAGAUCUCUAAUUAUUUAAAAUAUUAAGUAUCAUGACUCCAAUAUGACUCUCUGUUUGCCCUCUUCGGUCAUAAGCUAUUUUAUUUCCAGAUAAGAUUAUAUUAAAAGCUAACAUUUAUGUUAAGACGUGUUGUGUGCCCUGUGCUAAAUGCCUUACAAAGAUUAUCUUGAUAUAUGGUGACUCUAUCAGAGGGCUGCAGAACCUAACUCCAAAUCCCAGUCGGUUCUAAAGCCACCCUUCACCUUCCCACAACCCAGACAAAGCUCUGCAAGACCUCACUCCACCUUGGGUGGGAAGCAGCUGAGGGCCAUCAUCUCUGGGACAGGACUGAGGUCAUUUCUAUCCUCUUGAAAGCCCAACUCCCUUCUGAGGAAUCAGCCUCCACCCAGCCUGAUGCCUAAAACUCUUUCUAGAAAGCCUCAAAACUGCUCCAAAUAAAGACAUCCAUUAUGUUUCUUUGUAUGUGCUC
rnacentral:lncRNA from 1 species